rnacentral:rRNA from 1 species
GGGCCCGCACAAGCGGUGGAGUAUGUGGUUUAAUUCGAUGCAACGCGAAGAACCUUACCAGGGUUUGACAUCCUGCGAAUCUCUUGGAAACGAGAGAGUGCCUUCGGGAACGCAGUGACAGGUGGUGCAUGGCUGUCGUCAGCUCGUGUCGUGAGAUGUUGGGUUAAGUCCCGCAACGAGCGCAACCCACGUCUUUAGUUGCCAGCAUUUAGUUGGGCACUCUAGAGAGACCGCCGGUGAUAAACCGGAGGAAGGUGUGGAUGACGUCAAGUCAUCAUGCCCCUUACAUCCUGGGCUACACACGUACUACAAUGGUAUCUACAACAGGAAGCAAGACGGCGACGUUUAG